UACGAAGGGGGCUAGCGUUGCUCGGAAUCACUGGGCGUAAAGGGCGCGUAGGCGGCGUUUUAAGUCGGGGGUGAAAGCCUGUGGCUCAACCACAGAAUGGCCUUCGAUACUGGGACGCUUGAGUAUGGUAGAGGUUGGUGGAACUGCGAGUGUAGAGGUGAAAUUCGUAGAUAUUCGCAGGAACACCGGUGGCGAAGGCGGCCAACUGGACCAUUACUGACGCUGAGGCGCGAAAGCGUGGGGAGCAAACAGG
rnacentral:rRNA from 1 species